rnacentral:rRNA from 1 species
UACGGAGGGUGCAAGCGUUAUCCGGAUUCACUGGGUUUAAAGGGAGCGUAGGUGGGUUGGUAAGUCAGUGGUGAAAUCCCCGAGCUUAACUUGGGAACUGCCAUUGAUACUAUCAGUCUUGAAUACUGUGGAGGUUAGCGGAAUAUGUCAUGUAGCGGUGAAAUGUUUAGAUAUGACAUAGAACACCAAUUGCGAAGGCAGCUGGCUACACAAUUAUUGACACUGAGGCUCGAAAGCGUGGGGAUCAAACAGG